CCAAUUCUCGGGGUCUGGUGGAAAAUCCCAUAAGUCUUCGAUGUAAACGUAGUCUUCGUCUUCUUCCUCUUGGAUCCUCUUGAUUCUCUUGCUCUCCAGCACCCGAGUGUACCUGCGGAUGUUGGUUUCGGGGGUGUUUACGGUUUCAGGUGGGGCCUCUCCGGGUCGGGUGUAAGUGAGGGUUUCGGAAUCGGAUUCCUCGAUGUAGUCGUCAGAGGAAGAGGAGGAGUAGUCGGAGUCGGAGUCGGAGUCUGCGUAUUGCUGUUGCGACUCAGUAAGUUGUUGUGCUUGUUCUUCUUCUUCAUCAUCCUCUUCUGGGUCUUGUGACUCAGUGAGUUGUUGUUCCUCUUCGUUCGACAUUGCUUUGCAGUAGAAAGAAGGGAGAGGUUGAAGAAGAUAAGGUAGAGAAUGUUAAGAAGAAAAGGAUCGUUAGGAUUGAAGACAGCGGUUUAUCAUUUCAAAAGGGUUUUGGGCGUUUUGGCAUUUUCCAUGUCUUUUAAGUGAUUUUUGUGGUGUACCUAUGUUUGCUUUCUAUUUUCAUUUUGGUAAGUAUAGACAAAUGAUGUUAUCUUUUUUCAUGUGAAAUUGGUAGAUAAUAAUAUUUUACGCAUUUUAUUAAUUUGGUUCUAUUUUUAGAAACUUUAAUUUUAAAUUUUAUACAUUCUCUUAAUUUUAUCUUAAUUUUAAAUUUUUAAAAAUUUAAAAAAUUAUUAAAUGUUUGAAAAAAAUACAUAGAAAUUAAAAUUUAGCGGGUGAAACAAAAACAUGAAAUGGAUCGAAACAAGGGUACUAUUUCAAGGAACGAGGCACAAACAAUUUCAUGGUUCUAGACAAGAUUCUCCACAUCUUUUUCUUCGGUUAUUAAAUGUUAAGUUUUUGGGUUCAAUUAAACUUUCAUAAUGCAUCAUCCAUUGCUUGUGGACUCAUUUGCUAAACUUGUAGACUAGAAUUAUUGAAGAAUCAUAUUUGACACUCUUUUGAUGAACAUACAUUUAUUUAUAUAUUUAUAUGUUUAAUUAUUGGAUUUAAAUUGUUAGACUAUCCAAUAGGAACCUCCAUUAUUGGAUUUAAAUUGCUAGCUGGGUAUAUUUAUGUUGACUGCACUGACAGUAGAAAGCAAAUUUCUAUCUCCAUAUCAACUAUAAAGACUAAGCAUAUCUUUGCUUGAAGUUAUUGUACACAACACUAUGGUGUUAAAAGAAGUGUUGCUAAACAUUUCAAAGAAUAAUAUAUUGUACCUACGCACAUGAUUAUGAGCCUCCAAGUGUUAGAUGUCAUGUUGAUUCUUCAAAAGUGCAGAAAUGAUUUAAUCAUUAGUAUUCGUUAUAUUUAGACCGCAAUAUCUGCUGAGGAGUCUUUGUACCUAAGCACAUGAUUAUGAACGUCCAGAUGCCAUGUCGGUUCUUCAAGAUUGGAGAAGUGAUGGAGUUUUAUGGUGGUUUAAACAAAUAUUCUUGACUUGAAAUGCAAGGGAAUUUUUCCUUUAAACAUCAAUCUUGGGAUUGCUCCAUUUACCAUGUUUACUUGAUAAAAAAUAAAAACCAGUUCUCAUGAUUCAUAUUCGAUUGUUAAUGUUCAAAUUUUGAUACUAAUCAAAUUCAAGCUCAAAUAUUAAAGCUCGUGAUAGCUCAACUUGCUGUAAAUCACAAAGUAGAAUUCAAAUUUGAUUUCCAAUAUUCAAAAAAUUUUCAAACAAAACCCAAAUAUCUUCCAAGAGUAUAAAAUUUUCCCAUUUACACUCCUAGUCACAGCACUCCCAAUGUGGAAUUUUAAAUGAAAAUAAAACCAAUAGGACCAAAAGUAUUGAAGUUGAUCAUUCACCCCAAAUCCCAAUUGCCUGAAUGAAACUUUCGUUGAUCCUUCAACUUUCAUAUAAGAAUCAAAGCAUCCAAGAAAUAUUCCAGAUGAGAUUUUGCUCAUCGUCUAAGCUUUUUCUUUGUAAAGGAAAAAAUGUGCCAAAGCUCAAAAUGAUUUUUCAAUGUCUAACUUUGACGUUAUUUUUCUCUGUUUUUAAAAAAUAAAAGCCAAGUGUAUACUUCAAAUUAAGAUUGGCCAAAAAACCAAUCAAAUACAACCUCAACAAAGACUGACCCUCGUAAGUGCAAUCAUUCAAGUUCCUACAAUGAGGCUCCAUGCCUUUUAGUAUCUGGGUAUGAUUCCAAAUAACAAACCGGAAUAUGCAAAGAUAAGAUGUCUGAAUAUUUCUUCGGUGCAACAUGCAGCUCAGAACGGUUAAGGUUUCCAGGUUGUCUUACACGGCUUCUGGUAGUAGUUGAAGGACAUGAUAAGAUCUUGCAUAAGGAGUGUAACUGAGACUUCUUUCCUCUAGAUUGGUUUUGUGGUUGAAACUUCUGAUGGUCUUGCUUGAAUGCCCUCAACCUUCCUUUGUGGCCUAGCACCAAAGGGAAACUGACCGAAUCAAUUAUUUUCAAUGGAUCGCUGGCGCUUUCCACACUUGACGGAGGAUGGGAUUUUAGUGGUAAUCUACGUUGUUUCAGUGCUAAAAUUGAUUCUCGCAAUGUAGAUGGAACCUGUAAAGCAAAAGAUAGUAACCACUGAAAUCUGAAAUAUAAAAGCAAUGCAACUUUCAAAUGACCACCCAUUCAAUUAGCAUAAAGAAUUGUGAAACUAAACAGAAUAGACAUAAAUGGUCAUUUCGGUUACAAUCUGAUAUCGGAAUAAAGGCUUUUCAGACAAAUUCCCCAUUAGUCAAAGAGCAAAGGUGAAACAAUAAGACCAUUUUUUCCUCCACAUGCAAAUCACAGAAUUAGAACAGAAAUGAGAACAAAACAUGGAAAUAAAAUUGAAUUGUAUAAGAAUUUACCGCUGAAACAAGGCUGCAAGAAGCAAACAACAAUGAAGAUGAAGAGAAUGGAGGCUCCCUAGGCUUCUUUUCCUUCUGAUUGCCAGCAACAGAUCCAAAACUGGAAGGUGUAACAUCAUCAUCAUCAUCCUCUUCCUCUUCCUCUUCCUCUCCGUCUUCCUCUUCAUCCACAACUUUGUCAACAUCAUCUUUGGGAAUGGCUUUGUCCUCUAGGUUAGCCUCCACAGAAGUAUCUUCAUCCUCCAGCAAUCCCAUUUCCAUCUUCUUCUCCUCCUCUUUUUCUUUCUUCUUUAGUUCUUCAUCCAUGUCCUCAAUGGCCUCUUCUAAACACAGUUCAGCCUCUAUAAGAUCAAGUUCCUUUUCAAUAAGCUUCAUCUUCAACUCACCAGCCUUCUUCUUCUCUUCAGUCCACUUUUCUAGUUUAUCAAAUCCUGGCUUCAACGCAUUUUCUAUUGCCGUUAUUAGACGCUUCCAUAUAUUAUCCCUUUUUUGAAUCACUUCCCGUCCAUAGAACUCAUCAAAUCCAAGGGGCAGGAACUUAGCCUUCUUUGGAUCAAUCUCUUCACCUUCUUUCACAGGUGGCUGCCAAAAUAAUCGGACACCAUGUUCCUCAUCCUCAAUGUAAUUGAUCAAUCGUCCAGUUGGGGUAUGCAAAAUGAGUGGGUCUUCAGUAUAUAUUAGCUUUGACGGAUCUUCAGGAUCAGGUUCCGGUUCUUUGUUGAUAAGUACAAAUUCAGGAGUCUCAUCUGAUAAAGAAAAUGUAAACAUCCAUUUAAAAAAACCAAAAAAGAAAAAGAAUUCUUGAUAUCACUUUCAGAGACUAGGAAAUAAUAACUGAAGCGAAUAAAGAAUACCUUUCGACCACCAAUAUUCAAGCUCUGCAGGCAUUGGUAACCUAAGGGGAGCUUUAUAAAAUGAGUUUAGCCACAUUUCUCUUUCCUGAUCAACUUCAUGCACGUAUGUCUUCCAAUAAUCAGGAACCUGCCAAGUGCCAACUAACAUACUUAUUUUCUCUCCCUUUUCAUUAUUAAUGGAAGAAUCCACCAUGCAAAAGAAAAGCUUUUACUUACUUCGUAGAACUGCUUGAUAAAACCUGGUGCCAUCCACACAUCUUCCUCCUCAUAGAAAUAGGGAUGUUGAGGAUCACCAUAAGGACCUCUCUCUUCCCUAACCACUAGACAUGCAAGUCAAGAUUAUAUAAGGUUAAUGUUUAAAAUUGUUAGUGAUUAAUGUAAAAAGGCAUAGGGAUUAGGGAUUCCAAAGUAUCAUGUAGAGGGUAAAUCCAACAGAAAAAGUCAUGCAUUCAAAUUUCAGAUAAAUUAUACAGAACAGUCAUCAAGAGGCUCCAUGAAUCUCCAAAGAGCUUCCUUUUGCACCCAAUAAACAGAUAAGCAGAAGACUUCAACGGAGGUUUUAGCAUCGAUAACUUAUAGCCCAUAUUCAUCUCUAAAUAUAAGAAUCUACAACUUCAUCACAAGUCAAAACGUUGACUUAUCCAGUUACCACAAGGUACAAAGUUCAGCCACUUCUAUUUUCCUUUUAGUUUUCCUCUCUUUCUGUUUCUUACUUGAGCAGAGCUCUACAACCAUGAUCUAUAUAGCACAAGCUUGAACAUUGGUUGGCAUGAUUGACACUAGCAGACAGAACUCUUGUGUCAACCAUAACAGAUGCUUGUAGGGACAAUUAUAAGAGAAUUAUGUCAAAUAUACCUUAUGUAUUUUUGUCGAAGAAACUUGCAGUGUUGAGAACGUGGGAAUAGGACCAAGUCACUGGGUGAUUAACAGCAACCCUGGAAGCGAUGGCCUUCCCUUUAUCACUAUUCCUAGAACAACCUAUGGUGAUUGAUGAUCAACUCAUCGAAGGGAGACUGAAACCUUUAGGGCUCAUUUAGAGAGAGACCUAGAUCUCUUAAAAAAUAGAUAGAAAUUCUGCUUAUGUUUUUAUUCUCCAAUAAGUCCUUAAAUAGGGAUUAAUUACAUAAAACUAUGUUUCUAGAAGGAAAUAAAACAACUAAAUCCUAAUAAUGAAAAAUAGCUUAAAAUAAACUAAACCCAAAGUAAAAGUAACGUAAAAUAAAAAGUAAAUAAUUUUACUUUAAAGACUUAAACGGAUGCCUUUUUCCUCUUAUAUAUGCAACCAAUAAAAGUGUCCACAACACACAGAGAUCUAUCAUGUUUCUAUGUAUAAAAUCAUAGAAGUUACUGUGUCAAACAAGAUUUUGUGCCUAUGCAAAUCUAAUAGUUAAUAAAGCAAGACUACAUACUUCCAUCUGGCUUAUUAACAAACAUUCGAGCCUUAGCAGCAGCAACCUCUGCAAUACCAGCAUGCAUCUGAAAAAAUACAAUGUCAGAGAAAUACCAUAAUAUAGAAUUUACUCCCCCCCCCCUCCCAACUUCAUUUUGAACUAUUUAUUAAGUAGGAAAAAAUCUAAAAAUACCGCUGAAAUGUUCUCAUCGCAACCAUCUAAAUCAUCCAAUAGCUCUCCAAAAUAGAAUCUACCCUGCACCAUUACAAAUUAUGGAACACAAAAGCAGUCAAGCACUUUUAUAAGAGAGUUUGAGUAGCUGAAAUGGUUCAUACAACAAGUAAAGAAUAAUAUAUUAUGUGUGUGUAUAUAUAUAGUAUCAACCACAAACCAAAUUGAUCGAUGAAUGUGUUUCAUUCUCUUAAAAACAUUAUAUCUUAGCAUCUUUCUUUUGAAAAAUUUUGAAUAAAUUUUCUAUUUUUCAACUAUUAUGUUACUAGAAAGCAUUAUUUUUAAAGAAAACUGAGGUCUAUAAAGUAGAGGGCAAAACUGAGCUGCAGCAACAACUAUUGAAUCUUAUGUACACUACAUCUUCAUGGAAGAAAUGGAUUCAAUUACACAAAUUGAGACUCAAACAAAAUGGUUUAUAUUUUAAGCACAUACAUAGAUGGUGCGCUCAUUGACCUCAUAUACACCACAUCCAUGCAUUCUGCCAUGCUUCCACUGGCCAGCAUAACGGUAUCGACCCUUCUCCCUGAAACAGAAAUGUUUGUCUUAAUAACGCCACAAACUGAGAUAUAUACCUGCUAAAGUCUCAAAAGUUUGGCAGAAAAAGGUACAAGUGCCUCGCAUGAUACAACGUAAAUGCUCAAUAUGUGCACGUGCAGAUUGGACCAUUGAGUAGAUUAGGAAAAGCAACAUGCACAUGAUCAAAAAUUAAAAUGAGGCAGAUUCAAAUGCAAUGACGACAAUAAUAAGACAGAAAGAAAUAGAAUAUUUGAUAAAGAAACAUACGGUUUUCUGCCAAAAUGUUUGAUCCAUAUAUCACUCUCAUAAAAUGGUAUUUCAUAUUGCCCAUCCGCCAGGCGAAUGCUAUCCUCAACAUCCAUCUCUAACCAUUCUCUAUCUUCUGGAGUCAUGAAAUCUCUUGAUAUUAUUUUCCCUUCAGCUCGCAAUUUUGCUUCAAGCCUAGCAAAAUGGGAAAAUUCCAACUUCGUUGUAUCAUUUAUAAAUCCAUUGCUGAGAUUGUGAAACCUAUGCUAUAACAAAGUGCAUCAUAAAUAGUUCACAAAUUGUUACAUACUUGGAACCUGGCACAGGUUCAAUAUCAGGUAUAUCAACUUCAACAACCCCAUGACCUUCCAUGUUGUUUUGCAGCCAUUCACCUUCAUACCUAUAAAAGGAAGCAUCUUGUAAUUUUUUUUUCAGCUCAAAAGUACUUGAUGCAACACAUUAGUCCAAUACAGAACAAUUUAUGGAACCAUAAAAGAGAGGAAAAUGAAAUAUUCAAAGAGCACUCUCAGGGUUGAAUAAUGCAAACGUGAUCAUUUCAAUCCUGCCAAUGUUAUCAAGGGCACAAGGUGCACUCAAGUCACUAGAGCCAAGCAGGUAAGGAAUUUGAUAUUGUCCACUUUUUUAUCAAUAAUAAUAAUAAUAAUAAUAAUAAAAGAAAUGCAAGAGUACUUCAAUUGGGCAAGCUUCUAUUUGCACCUACCGCCGUACAAGAAAGCACACCUAGGUGCACCAGCCACCAGGUAUGUGACUGAUCUAAUGUGCCUUGCCCGAAAGGGUCUCAUUGCUUCUAUACCCUAGCACCUCAGUGCUUGACAUCGCUAACUCCUACAACUACAAACAAUCUUAUCUGCAUAUUUAAGGAUCCUUUGAUCCAGGAUGGUACGAGAACAUAUGUAUGAAGAAAGCAGAAAACAGCAUUAUGAUAAAGUAAAGAGAUACAAACAUACAAGAAAUCAAGACUGAAGAGUUAAGCAUUGACAAACCUGACCAGCCCCUGUUCUGCAACAUAAACACCUUUGCCAUGAGCCAAAUCAUCCCAAACCGUGCCUUCAUACCUUAAACAAAAUGCAGAAUGACUAUAAUGAGUAAUCAAACAAGUCAAAGCAAAACCAGAAUCAGGCAUACCGUUACCCGGAACUUCAAACAUGUCAAAAGCAAACUACUGGAUUAAAAACGAGUGGAGGACUGACUUUCAACAUAAAGCCACAAUUUUGCUUCGUGCAAUUGACCAAGUUCAAACUUAUCCAAAUGCACAUUUAGCUACCUCAUUUACAAACUCCCCAGACCUAAAUAAACUACCAUACUGCAAUAAAGUUGCAUGCCUUAACAAGACAAAUAGUAACAAAAUGAGGGGAAAAGAGUAAGAGAGAGAGUCGGUUUAACAUACGAGCUUCCAUCAGGGAAAAUGUAGCUGACCCAAUUGAGAAACUCCUCAAUUCUAUCCAACUCUUCAAUAACUGCUUUGGGGUUCGAAAUAUCAUAAUGAUUGUCCGGUAUAGCCGGAUAAGGCUUCCGAUAAGGAACAUAAAACGGGGCAAUCCCCGGGUCCCGGCCCUCCUUAAUCUCAUCCCUAACAAUUUCCCAAUCUUCCUCAUCAGCCCAAACAGGGUCCCAACCGGGUUUGGUCAUCUCCAGCGGAGCAUCCACCCAAUACUCCUUCAAAUCCUCUUCCCGCCAAUUCUCGGGGUCUGGUGGAAAAUCCCAUAAGUCUUCGAUGUAAACGUAGUCUUCGUCUUCUUCCUCUUGGAUCCUCUUGAUUCUCUUGCUCUCCAGCACCCGAGUGUACCUGCGGAUGUUGGUUUCGGGGGUGUUUACGGUUUCAGGUGGGGCCUCUCCGGGUCGGGUGUAAGUGAGGGUUUCGGAAUCGGAUUCCUCGAUGUAGUCGUCAGAGGAAGAGGAGGAGUAGUCGGGGUCGGAGUCGGAGUCUGCGUAUUGCUGUUGCGACCCAGUAAGUUGUUGUGCUUGUUCUUCUUCUUCAUCAUCCUCUUCUGGGUCUUGUGACUCAGUGAGU
rnacentral:lncRNA from 1 species